GGGUGAGUAACGCGUGGGUAUCUGCCUUGUGGUAGGGAACAACUCAGGGAAACUUGGGCUAAUACCCUAUGAGCCCCGGAAUGAUUUGUCAUUUUGGGGGAAAGAUUUAUCGCCAUGAGAGGAGCCCGCGUCGGAUUAGCUUGUUGGUGGGGUAAUGGCCUACCAAGGCUUCGAUCCGUAGCUGGUCUGAGAGGAUGAUCAGCCACACUGGGACUGAGACACGGCCCAG
rnacentral:rRNA from 1 species